rnacentral:rRNA from 1 species
CCCAGACUCCUACGGGAGGCAGCAGUGGGGAAUAUUGCACAAUGGGGGGAACCCUGAUGCAGCGACGCCGCGUGGGUGAAGAAGUAUUUCGGUAUGUAAAGCCCUAUCAGCAGGGAAGAAAAAUGACGGUACCUGACUAAGAAGCUCCGGCUAAAUACGUGCCAGCAGCCGCGGUAAUACGUAUGGAGCAAGCGUUAUCCGGAUUUACUGGGUGUAAAGGGAGCGUAGGCGGCCCUGUAAGUCUGAUGUGAAAAUUUGGGGCUCAACCCCAAACGUGCAUUGGAAACUGCAGGGCUUGAGUGCCGGAGAGGCAGGCGGAAUUCCUAGUGUAGCGGUGAAAUGCGUAGAUAUUAGGAGGAACACCAGUGGCGAAGGCGGCCUGCUGGACGGUAACUGACGCUGAGGCUCGAAAGCGUGGGGAGCAAACAGGAUUAGAUACCCGAGUA